GAUGAACGCUGGCGGCGUGCCUAAUACAUGCAAGUCGAGCGAACAGAUGAGGAGCUUGCUCCUCUGACGUUAGCGGCGGACGGGUGAGUAACACGUGGAUAACCUACCUAUAAGACUGGGAUAACUUCGGGAAACCGGAGCUAAUACCGGAUAAUAUAUUGAACCGCAUGGUUCAAUAGUGAAAGACGGUUUUGCUGUCACUUAUAGAUGGAUCCGCGCCGCAUUAGCUAGUUGGUAAGGUAACGGCUUACCAAGGCAACGAUGCGUAGCCGACCUGAGAGGGUGCUCGCCCCAACUGGACCUGAGACACGGUCCAGACUCCUACGGGAGGCAGCCGUAGGGCAUCUUCCGCCAUGGGCGAAAGCCUGACGGAGCAACGCCGCGUGCGUGAUGAAGGUCUUCGGAUCGUAAAACUCUGUUAUUAGUGAAGAACAAAUGUGUAAGUAACUAUGCACGUCUUGACGGUACCUAAUCAGAAAGCCACGGCUAACUACGUG
rnacentral:rRNA from 1 species